GACGAACGCUGGCGGCGUGCUUAACACAUGCAAGUCGAACGGAAAGGCCCCUUCGGGGGUACUCGAGUGGCGAACGGGUGAGUAACACGUGAGUAACCUGCCCUUGACUUCGGGAUAACUUCAGGAAACUGGGGCUAAUACCGGAUAGGAAUCCUUGCUGCAUGGUGGGGGUUGGAAAGCUUCGGCGGUUUUGGAUGGACUCGCGGCUUAUCAGCUUGUUGGUGGGGUAGUGGCUUACCAAGGCUUUGACGGGUAGCCGGCCUGAGAGGGCGACCGGCCACAUUGGGACUGAGAUACGGCCCAGACUCCUACGGGAGGCAGCAGUGGGGAAGAUUGCACAAUGGGCGGAAGCCUGAUGCAGCAACGCCGCGUGCGGGAUGACGGCCUUCGGGUUGUAAACCGCUUUCAGCAGGGGCGAAGCUUGUGGUGACGGUACCUGCAGAAGAAGCACCGGCUAACUACGUG
rnacentral:rRNA from 1 species